AUUGAACGCUGGCGGCAGGCUUAACACAUGCAAGUCGAGCGGAGUGAUGGUGCUUGCACUAUCACUUAGCGGCGGACGGGUGAGUAAUGCUUAGGAAUCUGCCUAUUAGUGGGGGACGACAUCUCGAAAGGGAUGCUAAUACCGCAUACGUCCUACGGGAGAAAGCAGGGGAUCACUUGUGACCUUGCGCUAAUAGAUGAGCCUAAGUCGGAUUAGCUAGUUGGUGGGGUAAAGGCCUACCAAGGCGACGAUCUGUAGCGGGUCGGAGAGGAUGAUCCGCCACACUGGGACGGAGACACGGCCCAGACUCCGACGGGAGGCAGCAGUGGGGAAAAUUGGACAAUGUGGGGAACCCUGAUCCAGCCAUGCCGCGUGUGUGAAGAAGGCCUUAUGGUUGUAAAGCACUUUAAGCGAGGAGGAGGCUCUUUUGGUUAAUACCCAAGAUGAGUGGACGUUACUCGCAGAAUAAGCACCGGCUAACUCUGUGCCAGCAGCCGCAGUAAAAC
rnacentral:rRNA from 1 species